UACGGAGGAUCCAAGCGUUAUCCGGAUUCAUUGGGUUUAAAGGGUGCGUAGGCGGAAUGGUAAGUCAGAGGUGAAAGCCUGCAGCUUAACUGCAGAAUUGCCUUUGAUACUGCCAAUCUUGAGUACAUUUGAAGUGGGCGGAAUGUGUCAUGUAGCGGUGAAAUGCUUAGAUAUGACCCAGAACACCGAUUGCGAAGGCAGCUCACUAAACUGUAACUGACGCUGAGGCACGAAAGCGUGGGGAUCAAACAGG
rnacentral:rRNA from 1 species